rnacentral:rRNA from 1 species
UACGUAGGGUGCGAGCGUUGUCCGGAAUUAUUGGGCGUAAAGGGCUCGUAGGCGGUCUGUCGCGUCUGCUGUGAAAACUCAGGGCUUAACCCUGAGCUUGCAGUGGGUACGGGCAGACUAGAGUGCGGUAGGGGAGACUGGAAUUCCGUGGUGUGAGACGGUGAAAUGCGCAGAUAUCAGGAGGAACACCGGUGGCGAAGGCGGGUCUCUGGGCCGUAACUGACGCUGGAGGAGCGGAAAGCAUGGGGAGCGAACAGG